rnacentral:rRNA from 1 species
UACGAAGGGGGCUAGCGUUGCUCGGAAUGACUGGGCGUAAAGGGCGCGUAGGCGGUUCGUACAGUCAGACGUGAAAUUCCUGGGCUCAACCUGGGGGCUGCGUUUGAUACGUGCGGACUUGAGUGCGGAAGAGGGUCGUGGAAUUCCCAGUGUAGAGGUGAAAUUCGUAGAUAUUGGGAAGAACACCGGUGGCGAAGGCGGCGACCUGGUCCGGAUAC